rnacentral:rRNA from 1 species
AUUGAACGCUGGCGGCAGGCCUAACACAUGCAAGUCGAACGAGUGGCGGACGGGUGAGUAAUGUCUGGGAACCUGCCCGAUGGAGGGGGAUACCUACGGGAAACGGUAGCUAAUACCGCAUACCAUCGGAUGUGCCCAGAUGGGAUUAGCUUGUAGGUGAGGUAACGGCUUACCUAGGCGACGAUCCCUAGCUGGUCUGAGAGGAUGACCAGCGACACUGGAACUGAGACACGGUCCAGACUCCUACGGGAGGCAGCAGUGGGGAAUAUUGAACAAUGGGCGCAAGCCUGAUGGAGCCAUGCCGCGUGAAUGAAGAAGGACUUCGGGUGGUAAAGUACUUGCAGCGGGGAGGCGUUACCCGCAGAAGAAGCAACGGCUAACUCCGUGCCAGCCGCCGCGGUAAUUC